GAUGAACGCUGGCGGCGUGCCUAAUACAUGCAAGUCGAGCGAGCGGACGAGAAGCUUGCUUCUCUGAUGUUAGCGGCGGACGGGUGAGUAACACGUGGAUAACCUACCUAUAAGACUGGGAUAACUUCGGGAAACCGGAGCUAAUACCGGAUAAUAUUUUGAACCGCAUGGUUCAAAAGUGAAAGACGGUCUUGCUGUCACUUAUAGAUGGAUCCGCGCUGCAUUAGCUAGUUGGUAAGGUAACGGCUUACCAAGGCAACGAUGCAUAGCCGACCUGAGAGGGUGAUCGGCCACACGGGAACUGAGACACGGUCCAGACUCCUACGGGAGGCAGCAGUAGGGAAUCUUCCGCAAUGGGCGAAAGCCUGACGGAGCAACGCCGCGUGAGUGAUGAAGGUCUUCGGAUCGUAAAACUCUGUUAUUAGGGAAGAACAUAUGUGUAAGUAACUGUGCACAUCUUGACGGUACCUAAUCAGAAAGCCACGGCUAACUACGUG
rnacentral:rRNA from 1 species